rnacentral:rRNA from 1 species
CCUGGCUCAGGAUGAACGCUGGCGGCGUGCUUAACACAUGCAAGUCGAACGGAGUUUUAAGCGGAAGUUUUCGGAUGGAAGUUAAAACUUAGUGGCGGACGGGUGAGUAACGCGUGGGUAACCUGCCUCAUACAGGGGGAUAACAGUUAGAAAUGACUGCUAAGACCGCAUAAUAUAGCGAAACCGCAUGAUUUUUGCUAUCAAAUAUUUAUAGGUAUGAGAUGGGCCCGCGUCUGAUUAGCUAGUUGGUGGGGUAAAAGCCUACCAAGGCGACAAUCAGUAGCCGGCUUGAGAGAGUGACCGGCCACAUUGGGACUGAGACACGGCCCAAACUCCUACGGGAGGCAGCAGUGGGGAAUAUUGGACAAUGGGGGAAACCCUGAUCCAGCGACGCCCGCGUGAGUGAAGAAGUAUUUCGGUAUGUAAAGCUCUAUCAGCAGGGAAGAUAAUGACAGUACCUGACUAAGAAGCCCCGGCUAACUACGUGCCAGCAGCAGC